rnacentral:rRNA from 1 species
CCUACGGGAGGCUGCAGUGAGGAAUAUUGGUCAAUGGACGAGAGUCUGAACCAGCCAAGUAGCGUGAAGGAUGACUGCCCUAUGGGUUGUAAACUUCUUUUAUAUGGGAAUAAAAUGUUCCACGUGUGGGAUUUUGUAUGUACCAUAUGAAUAAGGAUCGGCUAACUCCGUGCCAGCAGCCGCGGUAAUACGGAGGAUCCGAGCGUUAUCCGGAUUUAUUGGGUUUAAAGGGAGCGUAGGUGGAUUGUUAAGUCAGUUGUGAAAGUUUGCGGCUCAACCGUAAAAUUGCAGUUGAAACUGGCAGUCUUGAGUGCAGUAGAGGUGGGCGGAAUUCGUGGUGUAGCGGUGAAAUGCUUAGAUAUCACGAAGAACUCCGAUUGCGAAGGCAGUUCACUGGACUGCAACUGACACUGAGGCUCGAAAGUGUGGGUAUCAAACAGGAUUAGAUACCCGAGUAGUC